UUUUACUGGGCAUCUCCUGAGCCUAGGCAAUAGCUGUAGGGUGACUUCUGGAGCCAUCCUCGUUUCCCCGCCCCUCAAAAGAAGCGGAGAUUUAACGGGGACGUGUGGUCAGAGCUGGGGAAAUGGGCCCGCGAGCCAGGCCGGCGCUUCUCCUCCUGAUGCUUUUACAGACCGCGGUCCUGCAGGGGCGCUUGCUGCGUUCACACUCUCUGCACUACCUCUUCAUGGGUGCCUCAGAGCAGGACCUUGGUCUUUCCUUGUUUGAAGCUUUGGGCUACGUGGAUGACCAGCUGUUCGUGUUCUAUGAUCAUGAGAGUCGCCGUGUAGAGCCCCGAACUCCAUGGGUUUCCAGUAGAACUUCAAGCCAGAUGUGGCUGCAGCUGAGUCAGAGUCUGAAAGGGUGGGAUCACAUGUUCACUGUUGACUUCUGGACUAUUAUGGAAAAUCACAACCACAGCAAGGGUAUGUGGACAGGGGGCCUCACCUUCCUGAGGUUGUCAGAGCUUUUCAUCUUUCCAUGCAUCUUGAAGGAAACAGCUGGAAGUCUGAGGUCUUUUGGGAGCAGGGAAGAGGGAAGGAAUUUGCUUCUUGAGAUCAUUUGGUCCUUGGGGAUGGUGGAAAUAGGGACCUACUUCUUUGGUUGCAGUAACAAGGCUGGGGAUUUUUCCAGAGUCCCACACCCUGCAGGUCAUCCUGGGCUGUGAAAUGCAAGAGGACAACAGUACCGAGGGCCACUGGAAGUACGGGUACGAUGGGCAGGACCACCUUGAAUUCUGCCCUGACACGCUGGACUGGAGAGCAGCAGAACCUGGGGCCUGGCCCACCAAGCUGGAGUGGGAAAGGCACAAGAUUCGGGCCAGGCAGAACAGGGCCUACCUCGAGAGGGACUGCCCUGCACAGCUGCAGCAGUUGCUGGAGCUGGGGAGAGGUGUUUUGGACCAACAAGUACCUCCUUUGGUGAAGGUGACACAUCAUGUGACCUCUUCAGUGACCACUCUACGGUGUCGGGCCCUGAACUACUACCCCCAGAACAUCACCAUGAAGUGGCUGAAGGAUAGGCAGCCAAUGGAUGCCAAGGAGUUCGAACCUAAAGACGUAUUGCCCAAUGGGGAUGGGACCUACCAGGGCUGGAUAACCUUGGCUGUACCCCCUGGGGAAGAGCAGAGAUAUACGUGCCAGGUGGAGCACCCAGGCCUGGAUCAGCCCCUCCUUGCGAUCUGGGGUAUGUGACUGAUGAGAGCCAG
rnacentral:sRNA from 1 species